GAUGAACGCUGGCGGCGUGCCUAAUACAUGCAAGUCGAGCGAACGGACGAGAAGCUUGCUUUUCUGAUGUUAGCGGCGGACGGGUGAGUAACACGUGGAUAACCUACCUAUAAGACUGGGAUAACUUCGGGAAACCGGAGCUAAUACCGGAUAAUAUUUUGAACCGCAUGGUUCAAAAGUGAAAGACGGUCUUGCUGUCACUUAUAGAUGGAUCCGCGCUGCAUUAGCUAGUUGGUAAGGUAACGGCUUACCAAGGCAACGAUGCAUAGCCGACCUGAGAGAAUGAUCUGCCACACUGGAACUGAGACACGGUCCAGACUCCUACGGGAGGCAGCAGUAGGGAAUCUUCCGCAAUGGGCGAAAGCCUGACGGAGCAACGCCGCGUGAGUGAUGAAGGUCUUCGGAUCGUAAAACUCUGUUAUUAGGGAAGAACAUAUGUGUAAGUAACUGUGCACAUCUUGACGGUACCUAAUCAGAAAGCCACGGCUAACUACGUG
rnacentral:rRNA from 1 species